AUGCUCACGAUGUGCCAGGCUUUGUUUUCAGUGCUUUCCAUGCAUUACGUGUUCAUCAUCACAACAGCCCUACUAGCCCUUGCUCAUCAUCUCCUCACACCCCUGUCAUGCACUUACUUGUUCCUGAACAGCUGGGCUGCAGGCAGGAGGAAAGGUAACCACCAGAUCAGCCUUCAUGAAGGGAGACCGAGGGAGAGAGGCAAAAGACGCAGAGAACAACAUUCAAAUGCAGCCCAGGCUCCACUUUGGGGAAAGGCCUUCUUGAUUUGCUGGGGCCACGUGCAAUGAAUGGCACAUGCACACGGUUAAUGGAGGUUUCCACCGGGAGUCUAGGCGUGUGGAUUCUUCUACUCCCUAUUUCUGCAUAUGUGCAAUGUGUUAAUUGUUCACAACGUGUCUGACAUCUUUAUAGGUAAAAGAAAAGCUGAGCUGCCGUAGUAGUGAAAAUGGAGAGUCUCUUACUGUGCCCGCCACACAGCGGAGUAGAUGAGGAGAAACCGCCUCCUCUGGUGUGAACGGUGGUUAUGUGCAUGCACAGAGCCCAUGAGAGAAGGCAGUGGCUCCGAGUAUAGUUUUUAGGGCUUCCGCAGCUCAUGGGCUGAGCCAGUUUCACCCCUGUCAUCACCAACCAUGCAGUCACGCAUGCAUACAAACUACUUCAGUUCCAUUGCGCACCCCCUUUGCCUUCCUCCCGUUGAGAAUCUCUUCCCCCCUGCAGGGAGUGUGGUCGACCAAAGGCCUCUGAUCCGUGGAACACGAUGCCUGGCUGGUGCAGAAGUCAGGCCUCCCCCCGGCGGCUCUUGGCCAAGGGGCCGAGGGUGACAAGGGUGCUCAGCUG
rnacentral:lncRNA from 1 species